rnacentral:rRNA from 1 species
GACGAACGCUGGCGGCGUGCUUAACACAUGCAAGUCGAACGGAAAGGCCCUGCUUUUGUGGGGUGCUCGAGUGGCGAACGGGUGAGUAACACGUGAGUAACCUGCCCUUGACUUUGGGAUAACUUCAGGAAACUGGGGCUAAUACCGGAUAGGAGCUCCUGCUGCAUGGUGGGGGUUGGAAAGUUUCGGCGGUUGGGGAUGGACUCGCGGCUUAUCAGCUUGUUGGUGGGGUAGUGGCUUACCAAGGCUUUGACGGGUAGCCGGCCUGAGAGGGUGACCGGCCACAUGGGGACGGAGAUACGGCCAAGACUCCUACGGGAGGCAAGAGUGGGGAAUAUUGCACAAGGGGCGGAAGCCUGAUGCAGCAACGCCGCGUGCGGGAUGAGGGCCUUCGGGUUGUAAACCGCUUUCGCCUGUGACGAAGCGUGAGUGACGGAAAUGGGUAAAGAAGCACGGGCUAACUACGU